rnacentral:rRNA from 1 species
CCUACGGGAGGCAGCAGUGAGGAAUAUUGGUCAAUGGACGAGAGUCUGAACCAGCCAAGUAGCGUGAAGGAUGACUGCCCUAUGGGUUGUAAACGUCUUUUAUAUGGGAAUAAAAUGUUCCACGUGUGGGAUUUUGUAUGUACCAUAUGAAUAAGGAUCGGCUAACUCCGUGCCAGCAGCCGCGGUAAUACGGAGGAUACGAGCGUUAUCCGGAUUUAUUGGGUUUAAAGGGAGCGUAGGUGGAUUGUUAAGUCAGUUGUGAAAGUUUGCGGCUCAACCGUAAAAUUGCAGUUGAAACUGGCAGUCGUGAGUACAGUAGAGGUGGGCGGAAUUCGUGGUGUAGCGGUGAAAUGCUUAGAUAUCACGAAGAACUCCGAUUGCGAAGGCAGCUCACUGGACUGCAACUGACACUGAGGCUCGAAAGUGUGGGUAUCAAACAGGAUUAGAUACCCCUGUAGUC